rnacentral:lncRNA from 1 species
GGGCGGGGAGAGCCUUCUAGUUGGCGAGUGGGCUUUAGGACCCAACGGGAACCCGUGCCUCUUGCAGCAGCCUAACCCAGAAGCAGGGGGGAAUCCUGAAUCGAGCUGAGAGGGGUUCCCCGGUUCUCCUGGGAACCCCAUCGCCCCCCUGCCAGCACACACCUGAGCAGCAUCACAGGACAUGGCCCCCUCAGCCACCUAGCUGGGGCCCAUCUAGGAGUGGCAUCUUUUUUGGUGCCCUGAAGGCCAGCUCUGGACCUUCCCAGGAAAAGUGCCAGCUCACAGAACUGCUUGACCAAAGGACCGGCUCUUGAGACAUCCCCCAACCCACCUGGCCCCCAGCUAGGGUGGGGGCUCCAGGAGACUGAGAUUAGCCUGUCCUCUUUGGACAGCAGCUCCAGGACAGGGCGGGU